rnacentral:rRNA from 1 species
GACGAACGCUGGUGGCGUGCUUAACACAUGCAAGUCGAACGAAGUGGCGAACGGGUGAGUAACGCGUAAUCAACCUGCCCUUCAGAGGGGGACAACAGUUGGAAACGCCUGCUAAUACCGCAUACUGAAGGAGGUGAUUGCGUCUGAUUCGCGAGUUGGAGGGGUAACGGCCCACCAAGGCGAUGAUCAGUAGCCGGGCUGGGAGGAUGAACGGCCACAUGGGGACUGAGACACGGCCCAGACGCCUACGGGAGGCAGCAGUGGGGAAACAUCCGCAAUGGACGAAAGGCUGACGGAGCAACGCCGCGUGAGUGAUGACGGCCUUCGGGGUGGAAAGCUCUGUUAAUCGGGACGCGGUACCGGAAUAGAAAGCCACGGCUAACUACGUGCCAGCAGCCGCGGUAAUAC